UAAGGAAUAUUGGUCAAUGGACGCAAGUCUGAACCAGCUAUGCCGCGUGAAGGAUGAAGGUCCUCUGGAUUGUAAACUUCUUUUAUCUGGGACGAAAAAAGGUCUUUCUAGAUCACUUGACGGUACCAGAGGAAUAAGCACCGGCUAACUCCGUGCCAGCAGCCGCGGUAAUACGGAGGGUGCAAGCGUUAUCCGGAUUCACUGGGUUUAAAGGGUGCGUAGGUGGGCAGGUAAGUCAGUGGUGAAAUCUCCGAGCUUAACUCGGAAACUGCCAUUGAUACUAUCUGUCUUGAAUAUCCUGGAGGUGAGCGGAAUAUGUCAUGUAGCGGUGAAAUGCUUAGAUAUGACAUAGAACACCAAUUGCGAAGGCAGCUCACUACGGGAUUAUUGACACUGAGGCACGAAAGCGUGGGGAUCAAACAGGAUUAGAUACCCCCGUAGUCC
rnacentral:rRNA from 1 species